rnacentral:rRNA from 1 species
GACGAACGCUGGCGGCGUGCCUAAUACAUGCAAGUUGAGCGCUGAAGGUUGGUACUUGUACCAACUGGAUGAGCAGCGAACGGGUGAGUAACGCGUGGGGAAUCUGCCUUUGAGCGGGGGACAACAUUUGGAAACGAAUGCUAAUACCGCAUAAAAACUUUAAACACAAGUUUUAAGUUUGAAAGAUGCAAUUGCAUCACUCAAAGAUGAUCCCGCGUUGUAUUAGCUAGUUGGUGAGGUAAAGGCUCACCAAGGCGAUGAUACAUAGCCGACCUGAGAGGGUGAUCGGCCACAUUGGGACUGAGACACGGCCCAAACUCCUACGGGAGGCAGCAGUAGGGAAUCUUCGGCAAUGGACGAAAGUCUGACCGAGCAAACGCCCGCGUGAGUGAAGAAAGGUUUUCGG